AAUGAACGUUGGCGGCGUGGAUUAGGCAUGCAAGUCGUGCGGGCGUAGCAAUACGUCAGCGGCGAAAGGGAGAGUAAUACGUGGAUACCAACCCCUGGGUCGGGGAUAGCCACGGGAAACUGUGGGUAAUACCCGAUAACGUCUCCGGACCAAAGGUGUGAUUCCGCCUGGGGACGGGUCCGCGUCCUAUUAGCUAGUUGGUAGGGUAAUGGCCUACCAAGGCGAAGAUGGGUACGGGGUGUGAGAGCAUGCCCCCGCUCACUGGACUGAGACACUGCCCAGCCACCGACGGGUGGCUGCAGUCGAGAAUCUUCGGCAAUGGGCGCAAGCCUGACCGAGCGACGCCGCGUGCGGGAUGAAGGCCUUCGGGUUGUAAACCGCUGUCAGUGGGGAGGAAAUGCCGGUGGGUUCUCCCAUCGGUUUGACCUAUCCGCAGAGGAAGUACGGGCUAAGUUCGUGCCAGCCGCCGCAGUAAAAC
rnacentral:rRNA from 1 species